AGAGUUUGAUUCUGGCUCAGAACGAACGCUGGCGGCGUGGAUAAGACAUGCAAGUCGAGCGAGAUAAGUUUUGUAGCAAUACAGAGCUUGUUUAACGGCGAACGGGUGCGUAACACGUGAGAACCUGCCCAAAAGAGGGGGAUAGCCCGCCGAAAGGCGGAUUAAUACCGCAUAUUAACAAAGCAGCAAUGCGCUUUUGGAUGGGCUCGCGGCCUAUCAGCUAGAUGGUGAGGUAACGGCUCACCAUGGCUAUGACGGGUAGCUGGUCUGAGAGGACGACCAGCCACACUGGGACUGAGACACGGCCCAGACACCUACGGGUGGCAGCAGUCGAGAAUUUUUCACAAUGGGGGAAACCCUGAUGGAGCGACGCCGCGUGGAGGAUGAAGGUUUUCGGAUUGUAAACUCCUGUCAUGAGAGAACAAAACCCGCAAGGGCUUGAUAGUAUCUCAAGAGGAAGGGACGGCUAACUCUGUGCCAGCAGCCGCGGUAAUACAGAGGUCCCAAGCGUUGUUCGGAUUCACUGGGCGUAAAGGGUGCGUAGGUGGCGGGGUAAGUUGCGUGUUAAAUCUCAAGGCUCAACCUUGAAACCGCUCGCAAUACUGCUCUGCUCGAGGACUGUAGAGGAGAAUGGAAUUCACGGUGUAGCAGUGAAAUGCGUAGAUAUCGUGAGGAAGACCAGUGGCGAAGGCGAUUCUCUGGGCAGUUCCUGACACUGAGGCACGAAGGCCAGGGGAGCAAACGGGAUUAGAUACCCCGGUAGUCCUGGCAGUAAACGGUGCACGUUUGGUGUGGGAGGAUUCGACCCCUUCCGUGCCGUAGCUAACGCGUUAAACGUGCCGCCUGAGGAGUACGGUCGCAAGAUUAAGACUCAAAGAAAUUGACGGGGGCCCGCACAAGCGGUGGAGUAUGUGGCUUAAUUCGAUGCAACGCGAAGAACCUUACCUGGCCUUGACAUGCAUUGUGUCUACGGUGAAAGCCGUAUAGUCCGUAGCAAUACGGACGCUUUGCACAGGUGCUGCAUGGCUGUCGUCAGCUCGUGUCGUGAGAUGUUGGGUUAAGUCCCGCAACGAGCGCAACCCCUAUGAUCUGUUGCCAUUCCGCAAGGAGGCACUCUGAUCAGACUGCCCUGUGAAACGGGGAGGAAGGUGGGGAUGACGUCAAGUCAGUAUGGCCCUUACGGCCAGGGCUGCACACGUACUACAAUGCCCACUACAGAAUGAACCAAAACCGCGAGGUGGAGGAAAUCCCUAAAAGUGGGCUCAGUUCGGAUCGUAGGCUGCAAUUCGCCUACGUGAAGCUGGAAUCGCUAGUAAUGGCGCAUCAGCUACGGCGCCGUGAAUACGUUCCCGGGCCUUGUACACACCGCCCGUCACAUCAUGGAAAUCGUUUGCACCCGAAGUCCGCCCGCUAACCGCAAGGAGGCAGCGUUCGAAGGUAUGAGCGGUAACUGGGAUGAAGUCGUAACAAGGUAGCCGUAGGGGAACCUGCGGCUG
rnacentral:rRNA from 1 species